CUCAUGGUUUCACGGUAUUGCAAUGAGAACAAUUUAAAACCCUUAGCGAGAAUCAAGUGGAGGACAAGUCUGGUGCCAGCACCCGCGGUAAUUCCAGCUCCACUAGCGUAUAUUAAAGUUGUUGCAGUUAAAAAGCUCGUAGUUGAACCUCUGUCUGGGGCUAGUUUUGGCUUUGGUCAGGCUAGUUCUAGGCAUCCGCCUACAAGACUUAGAGGGCAUUCAGUUGUUCACUAGGAGGAGUAGGCAUUUUACUUUGAAAAAACUAGAGUGUUUAAGGCAGGCAAUCGCCCGCAUAUAUUAGCAUGGAAUAAUAGAAUAGGACACUUUUCCAUUUCGUUGGUUAUUGGAAUCGUGUAAUGAUUAAUAGGGACAGUUGUGGGCAUUUGUAUUUAAUUGUCAGAGGUGAAAUUCUUGGAUUUAUUAAAGACGAACUAACGCGAAAGCAUUUGCCAAGGAUGUUUUCAUUAAUCAAGAACGAAAGUUAGGGGAUCAAAGACGAUCAGAUACCGUCCUAGUCUUAACUAUAAACUAUUCCGACUCAAUGUUUGACUGGCUUAUAUAACCAGUUGAGCGUUGUAUGAGAAAUCAAAGUCUUUAGGUUCUGGGGGGAGUAUGGUUGCAAAGCUGAAACUUAAAGGAAUUGACGGAAGAGCACAACCAGGAGUGGAUUCUGCGGCUUAAUUUGACUCAACACGGGGAAACUUACCAGGUUAAAACAAUAGUGGGAUUGACAGUUUGAGAGCGCUUUCUUGAUUGGUUGGGUGGUGGUGCAUGGCCGUUCUUAGUUGGUGGAGUGAUUUGUCUGCUUAAUUGCGUUAACGAACGAGACCUUAACCUGCUUACUAGACUGGCGAUCAUCAAUCGUUAGCUCUUCUUAGAGGGACUUUGGUUGUUUUAACUCCAAGGAAGUUUGAGGCAAUAACAGGUCUGUGAUGCCCUUAGAUAUCCUGGGCCGCACGCGUCAUACAAUGACUAGUUCAGAAAGUUUUCUCCUGACCCGAAAGGGGAUGGGUAAUCUUGAUAAUACUAGUCGUGUUAGGGAUCGAUCUUUGCAAUUAUAGAUCUUGAACGAGGAAUUCCUAGUAAGUGCGGUUCAUCAGACCGUACUGAUUACGUCCCUGCUCUUUGUACACACCGCCCGUCGCUUCUACCGAGUGGGUGGUCCGGUGAGAUAAUUGAACUUCGCAGGUAACUGAGAGGAAAGAUUAUCAAACCUAUCCACCU
rnacentral:rRNA from 1 species